rnacentral:lncRNA from 1 species
CCCCCGCCCCCCGUUCUCUUAAAAAGGCCAGCGACGGCGCACCCCUCCCUGGGCUCCCUCUUGAUCUCUCUCAAAACCAGACCCCCCAUUUUUGGAAACCGAUUUUCAGCUAAAAAUGGCUGCUUCAAAAACUUCUACUCUCUCUCGCUGAAGAAAAAACGGACUCUCAUCUUCACACAAACGGACCCCCACCCUUGAAAAAACGUAGCAGCUGCUAAGAAAAUGGCAGUACUAGCGAGAGAAGAAGAGAAGCUUUAAGCUCCAGCCGCACCACCCCAUCUCCGCCCCGUACACUUUCACUGAUUAGAAGCAAAAAUUUCGAACAUUAAAAAAACAAAGACUAGAAAAGACAGAGAUCUAACUCGCAAAAAAGCUUCAAACAAGAGGAGUGAAAGGGAUCUGGGUAGCCACUUCAAUUUUUGCUGGUUUUGCACUACUUUUUUUUGAAACUUUUAAGGUUUAAUCGGACUGGAAUCAUCUUAUUUCUGCUGCUGUGUUACUUGAAUUCGUUGCUGAGCUUCAAACCCGCUGAUUCUAGCUUUAUUUGGCUUUCUUCUCUUCUAAAUUUGAACUUUGUGCAACGAGGUAUGUUCUCCACAAAAUUGUUCUUAGAUCUGUUUUGUUAUGGAAUCAUUGUUGUUGUUUAGUUCGUUUGUUGCUCUUAUAUGAAUUUAUUUGUUAGAUUUAAUUUCACACAAUGAGUGGAAUGUUACUAAACGCAAUUUUUCUUCAAAAGCUCUCUGUGUGCUUCAAGGAUUGUUUUCCCAAAUUUGCCCAGUAAUUGGAGAUUGUGCGUGGAUCUAAGUGGUAAUUGAAAAAAGUGCAGAGUUUUAUAUUUGGGUUAUUAAUUCAAGUGAAAGCUGUGUUCUUUAUUUGUUGUGGCUAUUGAUUUCAGUUAAAAUGGAGCAAGGUUUUGGUUCAGACUCUUUUCCACUAGCAGGGUCCAUUGACAAGUCUAAGGUUUUAGACGUUAAGUCUAUGAGAUGUCUUAUGCUUGUUUUUCCAUCUCCAUGUUUGAAUCAGUUAAUUAAGAGAAAAAUAUUCAAGCCUGUUGGAUGUGGUUUCCUACUAUCACUUAAGGUUGAAAUCAGAAUCCAUGUCUAAUUAAUUGGAUCAUGUUAUCAUUUCUGGGCACUUCGACUAUUACGAUUGUAAAUUCUUUAAGAUUCUUGUACCUAUAACUCUAACAACAGAUAGAUUCCAUAAAUUCUGGGCCUUUCAAUAAUCAC